GACGAACGCUGGCGGCGUGCUUAACACAUGCAAGUCGAACGAGGUGCUUGCACCUAGUGGCGAACGGGUGAGUAACACGUGAGCAACCUGCCCUUGGCUCUGGGAUAGCCUCCGGAAACGGGGAUUAAUACCGGACAUGACCCUGCUCUGCAUGGAGCGGGGUGGAAAGUUUUUCGGCCAGGGAGGGGCUCGCGGCCUAUCAGCUUGUUGGGGGGGUAACGGCCCACCAAGGCGACGACGGGUAGCCGGCCUGAGAGGGCGACCGGCCACACUGGGACUGAGACACGGCCCAGACUCCUACGGGAGGCAGCAGUGGGGAAUAUUGCACAAUGGGGGAAACCCUGAUGCAGCGACGCCGCGUGCGGGAUGAAGGCCUUCGGGUUGUAAACCGCUUUCAGCAGGGGCGAAUUCAAGACGG
rnacentral:rRNA from 1 species